UGCGAAUGGCUCAUUAAAUCAGUUAUCGUUUAUUUGAUAGUACCUUACUACAUGGAUACCUGUGGUAAUUCUAGAGCUAAUACAUGCUAAAAACCUCGACUUCGGAAGGGGUGUAUUUAUUAGAUAAAAAACCAAUGCCCUUCGGGGCUCCUUGGUGAUUCAUAAUAACUUAACGAAUCGCAUGGCCUUGCGCCGGCGAUGGUUCAUUCAAAUUUCUGCCCUAUCAACUUUCGAUGGUAGGAUAGUGGCCUACCAUGGUGGCAACGGGUAACGGGGAAUUAGGGUUCGAUUCCGGAGAGGGAGCCUGAGAAACGGCUACCACAUCCAAGGAAGGCAGCAGGCGCGCAAAUUACCCAAUCCCGACACGGGGAGGUAGUGACAAUAAAUACUGAUACGGGGCUCUUUUGGGUCUCGUAAUUGGAAUGAGUACAAUCUAAAUCCCUUAACGAGGAACAAUUGGAGGGCAAGUCUGGUGCCAGCAGCCGCGGUAAUUCCAGCUCCAAUAGCGUAUAUUAAAGUUGUUGCAGUUAAAAAGCUCGUAGUUGAACCUUGGGUCUGGCUGGCCGGUCCGCCUCACCGCGAGUACUGGUCCGGCUGGACCUUUCCUUCUGGGGAACCUCAUGGCCUUCACUGGCUGUGGGGGGAACCAGGACUUUUACUGUGAAAAAAUUAGAGUG
rnacentral:rRNA from 1 species